rnacentral:rRNA from 1 species
AGGGUUUGAUCCUGGCUCAGAACGAACGUUGGCGGCGUGGAUGAGGCAUGCAAGUCGAACGUGAAAGCCGCAAGGUGAGUAGCGUGGCGGACGGGCGAGUAACACGUAAUCAAGCUGCCUGCGAGACGGGGAUAACCUCGGGAAACCGAGGCUAAGACCCGAUGGUCUGCCGGGGACGCAUGUUCCUGGUAGUAAAUGGGCGGGAUCCUCCGGGACCGCCUUGCUCGCAGAGGUGACUGCGGCCCAUCAGCUAGUUGGUAGGGUAAUGGCCUACCAAGGCAACGACGGGUAGCCGGCCUUAGAGGGUGGUCGGCCGCACUGGGACUGAGACACUGCCCAGACUCCUACGGGAGGCUGCAGUCGAGAAUCUUCCGCAAUGGGCGAAAGCCUGACGGAGCGACGCCGCGUGGAGGACGAAGGCCUUCGGGUUGUAAACUCCUGUCACGAGUUAAGAAGGUGUUGCCACGAACAGUGGUAGCAUUUGACGUAAGCUCGAGAGGAAGCACUGGCUAACUCUGUGCCAGCAGCCGCGGUAAUACAGAGAGUGCAAACGUUGUUCGGAAUUACUGGGCUUAAAGCGCGCGUAGGCGGCACUGUAAGUGUCUGGUGAAAUCCCACGGCUCACCCGUGGAACUGCCGGGCAUACUGCGGUGCUAGAGUGUGGUAGGGGAGAGCGGAACUCCUGGUGGAGCGGUGAAAUGCGUAGAUAUCAGGAGGAACACCGGUGGCGAAGGCGGCUCUCUGGUCCAUAACUGACGCUGAGGUGCGAAAGCUAGGGGAGCAAACGGGAUUAGAUACCCCGGUAGUCCUAGCUGUAAACGAUGGGCACUUGGUAGGAGACUCGCCGAUGGGUUUCCUGCCGCAGGGAAACCGUGAAGUGCCCCGCCUGGGGAGUAUGGUCGCAAGGCUGAAACUCAAAGGAAUUGACGGGGGCUCACACAAGCGGUGGAGCAUGUGGUUUAAUU